rnacentral:rRNA from 1 species
CAAGGUGGCAAUAGCGCGAGGGCUCCACCUCUUCCCAUUCCGAACAGAGAAGUUAAACCUCGCCACGCCGAUGAUACUGCGAAAGUGGGAAAGUAGGUAACCGCCCCCU